AGAGUUUGAUCAUGGCUCAGAACGAACGCUGGCGGCGUGCUUAACACAUGCAAGUCGAGUGCGCGCCUGUAGCAAUACAGGUGGCGCACGGCGCACGGGUGCGUAACACGUGGGUAACCUGCCCUUUGGUGGGGAAUAACUCCGCGAAAGCGAAGCUAAUUCCGCAUAAGAUCCGCAAGGAUGAAAGCCGAAAGGCGCCGAUGGAGGGGCCCGCGCACGAUUAGCUAGUUGGUAGGGUAAUGGCCUACCAAGGCUUUGAUCGUUAGCUGGUCUGAGAGGAUGGCCAGCCACACUGGAACUGAGACACGGUCCAGACUCCUACGGGAGGCAGCAGUGGGGAAUCUUGCACAAUGGGCGAAAGCCUGAUGCAGCGACGCCGCGUGGGGGAUGAAGCUUCUCGGAGUGUAAACCCCUUUCGAUCCGGACGAAUGCCCGCAAGGGAUUGACGGUACGGAUAUAAGAAGCCCGGCUAACUACGUGCCAGCAGCCGCGGUAAUACGUAGGGGGCCAGCGUUGUUCGGAAUUACUGGGUGUAAAGGGUUCGUAGGCGGUGCGGCAAGUUGGGAGUGAAAUCUCUGGGCUCAACCCAGAGGCUGCUUCCAAAACUGCCGUGCUUGAGUGUGGGAGAGGCUCGUGGAAUUGCAGGUGUAGCGGUGAAAUGCGUAGAUAUCUGCAGGAACACCCGUGGCGAAAGCGGCGAGCUGGACCACUACUGACGCUGAAGAACGAAAGCUAGGGGAGCAAACAGGAUUAGAUACCCUAGUAGUCC
rnacentral:rRNA from 1 species